ACCUGCUGCUGUGCUGUUGGGCCUGGGCUGAAAUGGCUUGCUGCUUGGGCUUGGACAGGCCUGCUAUUUUUUUGCUGUUGCUAUUUUCUUACUGCUGCUGUUUUUUUGGGCUGAUCUGCUACUGUUGGGCCUACUAGACUGAUGGGUCGGGUCGGGUCAGUUUGGCCCUGCUGUUAAAAUUUUUAUUUUUUUCUCUUUUUUCUUUCCCUUUCUUCUUUCUUUUUUCUUCUAUCUUUCUUCUCUUUUUCUCCUUUUUCUUCUUCUCCUUCGACAGCCCUGACGUCACCUCCCCAGCCCAGUACGACGGUAGACGGUGGCUGUGGAGCUCUCCUCUCUUCUUCUUUUUUUUCUCUUUUUUCUUCCUUACUAUUUCUUUUUGCUUUUUCUUUUGCUUGCUGGUUUUUCUUUUGUUUAUGCUUACCUGGUUCUUGGCUUGGGUUCGACGGUGGAGCAACGAUAGCGGUGGCGCGACGAUCGUGGUAGCGGUGGGGGAAAUUAGUUGGAUUUGUGAGCUUUUUUUUUGAAAUUUUUCUGCUAUUUUUUUUCUCUUGGCUAUCGAAUUUUUCCUCUUUCUCUUCAAUUUUCUUUUUAAUCCCUCAAUUUUGUCUUAUUCCUCUUUGUUUUCAGGUGGCAGCGGAGAAAGGAGGCCAUGCACUGGGGGUGCCAGGCGUGGUGAGCGGGGCAUGCCUGAAUGCUGAUUGGGGCGGUCUUCUCAUGCCUAGAAGGACCAAAUUGUAAAGGGUACAAAGUUUCUAGGGCAAAACUAUAAUUUUAAGAAAUAUGGGGCAAAAAUGUAAUUUU
rnacentral:lncRNA from 1 species